AAUAAGUGUAGUUUUGUACUAUUUACAUUCAACAUUUAACCGUUCAUAUAAUUAGUAUUUUUAUUGCUAUUAGAUGAUAAAACAUGAAUAAUACUUUAUAAGUGACUAAAUAUUUUUAAAUUUUUCAUAAAUUUUUUUAAUAAGACGGACAGUCAAACGUUGAGCACGAAUAUCUACGACUGCACUUAUU
rfam:Oryza nivara chromosome 12, whole genome shotgun sequence.